rnacentral:rRNA from 1 species
AUACAGAGGGUGCGAGCGUUAAUCGGAAUUACUGGGCGUAAAGCGCGCGUAGGCGGUUUGGUCAGUCGGAUGUGAAAGCCCUAGGCUCAACCUGGGAAUGGCAUUCGAUACUGCCUGACUAGAGUAUGGUAGAGGGAAGUGGAAUUUCCGGUGUAGCGGUGAAAUGCGUAGAUAUCGGAAGGAACACCAGUGGCGAAGGCGACUUCCUGGGCCAAUACUGACGCUGAGGUGCGAAAGCGUGGGGAGCAAACAGGAUUAGAAACCCUGGUAGUCC